CUGAGGAAAUAGCUGUGUAGUGCUUGCCUAGCAUGCCCCAGCAAAUGUCUCCCCCAUCAAGAUGUCCUUAGCCCAGGUUUGGGGGCAACCUGAGGUAGGGAUAUUUUGACAUUCAUUUAACAUAUUUCCAGGGACUUUAAUGAACAAAGGGCUAUGUUAGAAGCAUGACUUGAUCUUCGCUGUCUUCAGUUCUCUCUGACUCUGCCUUUUCCUGUUCUCUUGAGAAUCCCUCACCAGUGCUCCCAUUAUCCUGCCUUUGGCUCAUGUCCCUUUCUUCCCCCCUUUCCCCCAUAGGGUCAGCCACUCUCUUCUUAAGCUGUUGAUAUGCUGGCCACUUCUAAAUCUGGAUCUCCCACCCCAGCUUCCCCUCUCUUUAGAUCUGUUUUUAUUCCCCACUGGACAUCUCCCCAGGCUUGUCCAUAUGUCCCCAGCCAAGUAUUAUUCCUCUCGAAUUCCUGCCCUUGUGACCUUCAUUACAAGCCACACCUACACGGGCUUAGUCAGCAUCUCACACCCUUAUACUCAAGACACUCUGAAGUUCAGCUGUUCCUCUCCCUUCCUUACAUUACAGAGCAUGGGAUUUGGAGUCAGGUUGGUUUGGGCUUGAUUUCCAGCUCUAUCAUUUUUGAUUGUGUAAUAGAGUUAUUUAACCUCUCUGGAGCCUCAGUCCUCCCAUAUGUAAAAUGAUGAUAAUAAUACCUACCUCACAGGGUUGUUGUGAGGAUUUAAAUUAGAUAUUGUACGAAAAGUGCCUAGCACAGUGCCUGGCACAUAAUAGAGUAGGUGCUCAAUAAAUGGUAGCUAUUAUUAA
rnacentral:lncRNA from 1 species